rnacentral:rRNA from 1 species
UAGGAAAAACGUUAGUAGAGUGAAAAUUCUUAGUGGCGGUUUUUACCGGAAAGGACGCUAACUAGUGCCAGCAGCAGGGGUAUACGUAGGUCCCAAGCGUGUCCGGAUUUAUAGGCCGAAAGCGAGCGCAGGUGGUUCUUAAGUCUGACGUAAAAGGCAGUGGCUCAACCAUUGUGUGCAUUGGAAACUCGGAGACUUGAGUGCAGGAGAGGAGAGUGGAAUUGCAUGUGUAGCGGUGAAAUGCGUAGAUAUAUGGGGAACACCGGAGGCGAAAGCGGCUCUCUGGCCGGUAACUGACACUGAGGCUGGAAAGCGUGGGGAGCAAACAGGAUUAGAUACCCUGGUAGUCCACGCCGUAAACGAUGAGUGCUAGCUGUAGGGAGCUAUAAGUUCUCUGUAGCGCAGCUAACGCAUUAAGCACUCCGCCUGGGGAGUACGACCGCAAGGUUGAAACUCAAAGGAAUUGACGGGGGCCCGCACAAGCGGUGGAGCAUGUGGUUUAAUUCGAAGCAACGCGAAGAACCUUACCAGGUCUUGACAUACUCGUGCUAUCCUUAGAGAUAAGGAGUUCCUUCGGGACACGGGAUACAGGUGGUGCAUGGUUGUCGUCAGCUCGUGUCGUGAGAUGUUGGGUUAAGUCCCGCAACGAGCGCAACCCUUAUUACUAGUUGCCAUCAUUAAGUUGGGCACUCUAGUGAGACUGCCGGUGAUAAACCGGAGGAAGGUGGGGAUGACGUCAAAUCAUCAUGCCCCUUAUGACCUGGGCUACACACGUGCUACAAUGGAUGGUACAACGAGUCGCCACCCGCGAGGGUGCGCUAAUCUCUUAAAACCAUUCUCAGUUCGGAUUGCAGGCUGCAACUCGCCUGCAUGAAGUCGGAAUCGCUAGUAAUCGCGGAUCAGCACGCCGCGGUGAAUACGUUCCCGGGCCUUGUACACACCGCCCGUCACACCACGGAAGUUGGGAGUACCCAAAGUAGGUUGCCUAACCGCAAGGAGGGCGCUUCCUAAGGUAAGACCGAUGACUGGGGGAAGUCGUAAGCAAGG